GACGAACGCUGGCGGCGUGCCUAAUACAUGCAAGUCGAACGCAGUGGGGACGGGUGCGUAACACGUGGGUCACCUCCCAUCAGAGGGGAUAACCCUUGGACACAGGUGAUAAACAGAUACUGAUGGCUGGACCCGCGGUGCAUUAGCUAGUUGGUGAGGUAACGGCUCACCAAGGCCACGAUGCAUCGACGACCUGAGAGGCUGAGCGGCGACACUGGGACUGAGACACGGCCCAGACUCCUACGGGAGGCAGCAGUAGGGAAUCGUCGGCAAUGGACGAAAGUCUGACCGAGCAACGCCGCGUGAGUGAAGAAGGUUUUCGGAUCGUAAAGCUCUGUUGUUAGAGAAGCGGUAUCUAACCAGAAAGCCACGGCUAACUACGUGCCAGCAGCCGCGGUAAUUC
rnacentral:rRNA from 1 species